AUUGCAAGUCGAACGAUGAAGCCCAGCUUGCUGGGUGGAUUAGUGGCGAACGGGUGAGUAACACGUGAGUAACCUGCCCUUGACUCUGGGAUAAGCCUGGGAAACUGGGUCUAAUACUGGAUAUGACUUCUCACCGCAUGGUGGGGGGUGGAAAGAUUUAUUGGUCUUGGAUGGACUCGCGGCCUAUCAGCUUGUUGGUGAGGUAAUGGCUCACCAAGGCGACGACGGGUAGCCGGCCUGAGAGGGUGACCGGCCACACUGGGACUGAGACACGGCCCAGACUCCUACGGGAGGCAGCAGUGGGGAAUAUUGCACAAUGGGCGCAAGCCUGAUGCAGCGACGCCGCGUGAGGGAUGACGGCCUUCGGGUUGUAAACCUCUUUCAGUAGGGAAGAAGCGAAAGUGACGGUACCUGCAGAAGAAGCGCCGGCUAACUACGUGCCAGCAGCCGCGGUAAUACGUAGGGCGCGAGCGUUAUCCGGAAUUAUUGGGCGUAAAGAGCUCGUAGGCGGUUUGUCGCGUCUGCCGUGAAAGUCCGGGGCUUAACCCCGGAUCUGCGGUGGGUACGGGCAGACUAGAGUGCAGUAGGGGAGACUGGAAUUCCUGGUGUAGCGGUGAAAUGCGCAGAUAUCAGGAGGAACACCGAUGGCGAAGGCAGGUCUCUGGGCUGUAACUGACGCUGAGGAGCGAAA
rnacentral:rRNA from 2 species